rnacentral:rRNA from 1 species
UAAGGAAUAUUGGUCAAUGCCCGGAAGGGUGAACCAGCCAUCCCGCGUGAAGGAUGAAGGGGCUCUGCCUUGUAAACUUCUUUUGAAUGGGACGAAAAAGCCUCACUUGUGAGGAACUGACGGUACCAUUAGAAUAAGCACCGGCUAACUCCGUGCCAGCAGCCGCGGUAAUACGGAGGGUGCGAGCGUUAUCCGGAAUCACUGGGUUUAAAGGGUGCGUAGGCGGCUGUAUAAGUCAGUGGUGAAAGGCUGUGGCUUAACCAUGGGAUUGCCAUUGAUACUGUACGGCUUGAAUUAGGAUGAAGUUGGCGGAAUGUGACAUGUAGCGGUGAAAUGCUUAGAUAUGUCAUGGAACAUCGAUUGCGAAGGCAGCUGACUGGACCUUAAUUGACGCUGAGGCACGAAAGCGUGGGGAGCGAACAGGAUUAGAUACCCCGGUAGUCCCUGAGCGGGCUGGCAAGGCGCAU